GGCUGCAGUCAUGCCUGGAUGGGGAGGAUGCAGGGCCUCAGCGGCAGCUGCUGCAAAAAAAGCCAGGGGCCAGUGCUGCCAUUUUACCGCCCAGACACAGAAAGGCAUGUUCAACCUCCCUUCCAUGCGCCGGGGUAGGGGUAGAGGGGUGCUGGCAGCAAGCUUCCCAAGUGGCGUGGCUGGGCCCAGAGGAACCGGGCUGGAAGCACUGUUACCGUAGGCACUAUGCGUUGUCUGCAGGGGCCUGAAAAAGCCUAGAGGCGGAAGAAAAGCCCAGGUGGCAGGCCACGCCGCCUGGGCAGCCCACAGACAGGCCCGGCUGCGCCUCACCUGCUUUUGUGUAGGUCCAUGUGGACGCCGGAGCCAGCCGGAACCCUGCUGCGGCUGCCCUCCUGCAGCUCGCUCGGCCCCUCAUCCCGGUGAGCACCGCGGCGCAGCCCCCCUGCCCCUAGUCCGGCGAGCCCCGCUACCAUCUGGGCGUCAGCCUUUCAAGAAGCCAAGAGCGGAUGUGUUUGCCUGUGAAGGAAGCCUAGUAAGCAAGAUUUAGAACUCUCCAGUGUUGUGUCCAGAGGAAGAAAUGAUUAAAGGGAAGGGCAAGCACAGUGACAGGUCCCAUUGCUGUCUGUAUCGAGAACUCCAAGAUGAAAUGCAGAUUCCCCAGGAAGUGGGCAAGGUGAUCUCCUGAGGCACAGAAAGAACUUCUAGAGAUUCUACUUAUAUCCACAUUUUAUCUGAUGCUUUUUAAUUUCUAUUUUUGUGCAUGUUUUAUAAUGUACAAAACAUUAGUUUGGUAAAAACAUGUAAACAUUUUAUAAAUAAAAGUAAAUACCUAUACCCUGA